GACGAACGCUGGCGGCGUGCCUAAUACAUGCAAGUUGAGCGCUGAAGGUUGGUACUUGUACCGACUGGCUGAGCAGCGAACGGGUGAGUAACGCGUGGGGAAUCUGCCUUUGAGCGGGGGACAACAUUUGGAAACGAAUGCUAAUACCGCAUAAAAACUUUAAACACAAGUUUUAAGUUUAAAAGAUGCAAUUGCAUCACUCAAAGAUGAUCCCGCGUUGUAUUAGCUAGUUGGUGAGGUAAAGGCUCACCAAGGCGAUGAUACAUAGCCGACCUGAGAGGGUGAUCGGCCACAUUGGGACUGAGACACGGCCCAAACUCCUACGGGAGGCAGCAGUAGGGAAUCUUCGGCAAUGGACGAAAGUCUGACCGAGCAACGCCGCGUGAGUGAAGAAGGUUUUCGGAUCGUAAAACUCUGUUGGUAGAGAAGAACGUUGGUGAGAGUGGAAAGCUCAUCAAGUGACGGUAACUACCCAGAAAGGGACGGCUAACUACGUG
rnacentral:rRNA from 1 species